rnacentral:sRNA from 1 species
GCCACUUAUUCCAUCAAAAUUGAGGGGAAACCAUACACUUUCCUGCUUGAAAAACAGUCAUUUUUACACCCACAUUUCCUGGUGUAUUUAUACAAUGAAUCAGGAACAUUGUAUGCAGAUUCUUCAUUUUCAAAGGGUCAUUGCUUUUACCAAGGAUAUGCUGCAGACAUUCCAAAAUCAGUUGUGGCACUACGCACCUGUUCUGGACUCAGGGGAUUACUGCAGUUAGAUAAUAUCAGUUAUGGUAUUGAACCACUGGAAUCUUCACCUACAUAUGAGCAUGUAGUUUAUCGAAUUAAAAAUGAUGCUAUUGGUCAUUCCUCCUUUCAAGAAAAUUAUCCUGUGGCUCAAUAUACAGAUCAGUCCUACAGGAUUCUUGUCAAAUCAGACACAAAUUCAGGUGCCAUGCUAUCGAAAAGAACUCUGAAAAUACAAAUCAUUAUGGAUAAAGCAAUGAGACAGGAUUUCACCAUGUUGGCCAGGCUAGUCUCAAACUUCUGACCUCAGGUUAUCUACCUGCCUCAGCCUCUCAAAGUGCUGGGAUUAGAAACCAUACACAACCCCAUUUUGAAAAGGAGAAAUAGACAAGAAGAAAUGGGUAACAGGCCUCAAGCAAGUCUGAAACCCAAGAGAGCCAAUGAUGGACAUUCAGACUCCUGAAUAAUUUCCUUUGACAACAUGUCCUGCAUCUUCUAUAAACAGGCAUGCACUCAUAAAAAAUGCUGUAAUCCUGCAGAUUGUACUCUAGUUGGAGCUGCAGAAUGUGGCACUGGACCAUGCUGUAACAAUAAAACUUGUACGGCUUGUCGCUCCCAAGAAUGCAGAAAUUUUAGUGAACUAAAUAUAACAAAAUGUACUACAAAUUGUGGACAGAAUGGGGUGAUCCUGGUUAUGCUCCUCCAGAUUGUGAGCCAGCAAUGUCAUCACCAGGAGGAAGUAUCGAUGAUGGGUUUUGGCUUACAAUAG